UAUGACGAUGUCCCGUCUCUUCCAGCCAUCGAUUGGGUUCAGAUUGACGCCAAUUCCUCCGUCCUCCAUGAUGAGUUCAUAGCGCACAGAGUGGGUCUCGUCCCCCUCACCAGUGACGACAUUGUGGACAAGCUGCAGUAUUCCCGGGACUGUACGUGCGAGGAGUUCUGCGCGGAGUGCUCGGUGGAGUUCAUGCUUGUUG